AACAGCAGCCUCCCCUCGCUUGGGAGUCCCUGGAAGCGCUUCCUUCAUUCACACCGAAGAGCCUCGGGAUUUCAAAGUGCCUGGCACUGCUUCAAGGCCAGUUACAGCGGCCACGGAGUCAUUGUAUUGAGAUGAAGGUGGAUCCAGGCGGUUUCUAUUUUUAGGUUCGAUUGUUUCUGGAAAAGGUUGCACAUCACAUAAUAGGAAAUCCCAAGAGUGUGAAGACUGUUUCCUGCCAGUGGAGGCCUUGUUGUGGUUGGCUGUUCUGACCAUAGAGACACGGAGCAUCGCUAACACCUUGCAGUGGUUCCUCAAGACUAAACUGAUGUGCAGUUUGAAGAUUUCAUCAUGGCUAUCAUUGACUUUAUAAAUCUGAAGAUAAAAACAUGUUAAGACCAGUUUUACUACCAUUCACGUUUCUACAACAUUUGAAAUGAAAAUAAAAGAUAACCCAGCUAUUCUUUCUUUGGUUCU
rnacentral:lncRNA from 1 species